CCACAAGACAGCACCCCUACAACAACAAACAAACAAAAACAAACAAACAAGGCUGACUUCAGUCAGUUCUUUAUUGACCCCUACAACAGCUCUGCCCUCUAGAGGGCCUCAAACCAGAGAUUCCUGAGACAAUAUUAGUUUUCAUUAUCCACCCUGAUGUAGAAAACACCAUUUCUGAUAGACUAUACAGCAUGUCAAAGCCUAAUAUGUUGAUGCACAGGGCAGCAAGAUCAUUUCGCGACCCCAAAAAAACGUUUGGCGGCCCCACUUGGGGUCCCGACCCCUAAUUUGAGAACCACUGCUCUAGAGGGCCUCAAACCAGAGAUUCCUGGCUAAAUGUCAUCUCUGUAAUUACGUCAUGUGUGUUAGGAAUUAAACAUUAUAUAGGUUUUGUAUUUGUUUGUAUGUUUGUAGUUGUUUGUGUUUGUGCAAACAGUGAGGGUUCUUGUUUUCCCCCUGGAUUCAGUGAUCUUUGAUUUGUUUUCACGGAUAGCUCAUGUGUGCUUUUCAGUCGUGCCACAUCAUCUCUUCAUGAAAUCAGUGUGUGGUUUUGUUUUUCCAGAUGUCUCUCCGUCCGUGAGCACAGCAUCCGUCACAGUGGGGGCCGGUGGUCUGCUGCUCCCUCUCUCUACCGAGCAGCUCGCCUGUGUGGCUCUGUCGGGCGCCCUCCUCCUCGCCCUGAUCGUAAACGUCGUCAUCUGCUGCCGUAACAGGAGGAAAGAUGAACUUCUCAUUCAGCAAAAAAGCCGCCAGCUUCAGAGCGCCGGCGAGCGCCAUGAGAAUGACUACAGAGACGGUGUCAACCUGGUCAACAUCACCAGCAACGACUACGAAGCAGACCACAUGGAUCAAUCAGGCACACGAUACGAAGCAGACCACAUGGAUCAAUCAGGUACACGAUACGAAGCAGACCACAUGGAUCAAUCAGGCACACGAUACGAAGCAGACCACAUGGAUCAAUCAGGUACACGAUACAUUCACAUUCAAUAGACAGAGUGCCAUGUCAUACACUAUCGUUCAAAAGUUUGGGGUCACUUAGAAAUGUCCUUGUUUUCAAAUAAAACAGCCAUGAAAUGAGUUUGAAUAGGAAAU
rnacentral:lncRNA from 1 species